GAUGCCUUGACUAUAUAUCAUGAAUGGGCGUUAAAUUAUGCGAAAAGUUGUAUCUAAGACAAAUCGUGAGAAAGGUACAAAUACCCAUCGUGGAAAACCACAUAAAGAUUCACACAAAGGGAACUGAAACAUCUUAGUACCUUUAGGAAAAGAAAUCAACCGAGAUUCCGUGAGUAUCGGCGAGAGAAAGCGGAACAGGCAAUUUCUAUAUAUUUGUGCAAAACAUGUCUGGGAAGCAUGACCAAAGAAGGUAAAAGUCCUGUAUGAUGAAAAUAUAUAGAGUAAAAAAGUAAAACAUGUUAAAGUGUUUGAAGAUAGGAGAACCACCUUCUAAGCCUGAAUAUGAUAUAUAGAUCGAUAGUGUACAAGUACCGUGAGGGAAAGGUGAAAAGCACCCCGAUGAGGGGAGUGAAACAGACCCUGAAACCGGACGUCUACAAUCAGUGGGAGGGGGUAACCCCGACCGCGUACCUUUUGUAUAAUGGGUCAGCGACUUAAUCUGGCGAGCGAGCUUAAGCCGUUAGGCGUAGGCGCAGCGAAAGCGAGUCUUAACUGGGCGCUUGAGUUCGUCGGAUUAGACCCGAAGCCGGGUGAUCUAGCCAUGGGCAGGCUGAAGGUGGGGUAACACCCACUGGAGGGCCGAACCCGAGAACGUUGAAAAGUUCCGGGAUGACCUGUGGCUAGGGGUGAAAGGCCAAUCAAACUCGGCAAUAGCUGGUUCUCCGCGAAAGCUAUUUAGGUAGCGCGUCGUGUCUCGCCUUCGGGGGUAGAGCACUGGAUGGGCUAGGGGGCCGCGAGGCUUACCAAACCUAACCAAACUCCGAAUACCGAAGAGCGCAAUCACGGCAGACAGACCAUGGGUGCUAAGGUCCGUGGUCGAGAGGGAAACAGCCCAGACCGCCAGCUAAGGUCCCCAAGUUACGGCUAAGUGGGAAAGGAUGUGGGAAGGCCAAGACAACCAGGACGUUGGCUUAGAAGCAGCCAUCGUUUAAAGAAAGCGUAAUAGCUCACUGGUCUAAAUAAGCCGUCCUGCGCCGAAGAUGUACCGGGGCUCAAGCCGUACACCGAAGCUGCGGAUGUCUUUCUUCUUCGGAAGGGAGGCGUGGUAGCGGAGCGUUCCGUAGGCCUGUGAAGG
rnacentral:rRNA from 1 species